rnacentral:misc_RNA from 1 species
UGCACAGAGAAUAGGUCAGUGCUUCAUGUAGCUCUUCGUGCUCCAAGGAAUGCGGUUAUAAACAGUGAUGGCAAGAAUGUUGUACCAGAUGUUUGGAAUGUUCUUGACAAGAUCAAGGAGUUCUCUGAGAGGGUUCGCAAUGGUUCCUGGGUUGGAGCUACAGGGAAACCACUGACUAAUGUUAUUGCCAUUGGUAUUGGUGGCAGCUUCUUAGGCCCUCUUUUUGUACACACAGCUCUUCAAACAGAUCCAGAGGCUAGCAGAUUUGCAAAAGGCCGCCAACUGCAAUUUCUUGCAAAUGUUGAUCCAAUUGACGUUGCUAAAAACAUUGCUGGCCUAAGUCCUGAAACCACCCUUGUUGUUGUGGUUUCUAAAACUUU